rnacentral:lncRNA from 1 species
CCUCCCAAAGUGCUGGGAUUACAGGUGUGAGCCACCGCGCCCGGCCCAUUUUACUUUUUAUUAUGAAAACUGAGACAUUCAGAGAAGUAAACAGAAUAUAACUCUUUUAUACUCAUUACCUAAAUUUAAAAGUUUUCAACAAUUUGCCAUUUUUGCAUCAUCUAUUUUAUUUUUUGGAAGUAUUUUAAGGUGAGGUCUAGACAUCCUGACAUGCUGCUACUUAAGAGACUAAUGCAGCUCCUAAAAAGAAGGGAAUUUUCCUAUGCAAGCACAAUCCAUUAUCACAUCUAACAGAAUUUACAGUAAUUCCAUAAUAUCACCUAGUAUCUAGCCCAUAUUCAAAGUUCCCCAAUUAAAAAAUGUCUUUCCCAGCAGAUUGCUCUGAUCUCAUCAGGGUUGUCUCUUGGGGUUUACAACAGGUGCUGUUUUCACUUCCUCCUUUCUCCUCUACGUUUUCUGCAAACUGGAAGCUAGAUCUCAAGCUGUGCUGGCCAGUACAGUAGUCACCAGGCACAUAUAAAUUUAAAUUAAUUGAACUGAAGUAAAAUUCAGCUCCUCAGUCAUGCAAACCACAUGUCAAGUGCUCAGUAGCUGCUUGUGGCCACUGGCUAUCUUACUGGACAGUGCAAAUGAAAAACAUUCCCAUCACCUCAGAAGGUUUUGUUGGACAGUGCUGCUCCAGAUACCUGAUGUGUUUUUAAGCAAACUUUUUUUUUUUUUUACCAUUUUGCUUUUCAUGAUCAUACCUCAGACUUAAUUUUUUUUUUUUUUUUGAGACAGAGUCUUGCUCUGUUGCUCAGGCUGGAGUGCAGUGGCACGACCUUGGCUCACUUCAACCUCCACUUCCCAGACUCAAGCGAUCCUCCAGCCUCAGCCUCCCAAGUAGCUGGGAUCACAGGUGCCAGCCACCACGCCUGGCUAAUUUUUGUGUUUUGUAGAGAUAGGUUUUCACCAUGUUGCCCAGGCUAGUCUCUACUCCUGAAUCAAAGAAAUCCGUCCGCUACAACCUCCCAAAGUGCUGACACUAUAGGCGUGAGCCACCGUGCCCAGCCUAGGCAAACAUUUUUGGCAAGAAAACUUCAUAUAGCAUCGUUCAGAAAAUGAUUUCACUGGCUGGGCGUGGUGGCUGACACCUGUAAUCCUAGCACUUUGGGAGGCCGAGGUGGACAGAUCACUUGAGGUCAGGAGUUAGAGAGUAGCCUGGCCAACAUGGUAAAACCCUGUGUCUACUAAAAAUAAAAAAAUUCCGAGUGUGGCGGCAGGUGCCUGUAGUCUCAGUUUACGGGCUGAGGGUGGAGAAUCGCUUGAACCAGGAGGCGGAGGUUGCAGUGAGCUGAGAUUGCACUAUUGCACUCCAGGCUGGGCGACAGCAAGACUCCGUCUCAAAAAAAAAGAUGGUUUACAGCGAGGUGCGGUGGCUCACGCCCGCCUGUAAUACUAGCACUCUGGGAGGUUGAGGCGGGCAGAUCGCUUGAGUCCAGGAGUUCAGGACCAGCCUGAGCAACAUGGAAAAAAACCGUCUCUACUAAAACUACAAAAAUUAGCUGGACAUGGUGGUGCACACCUGUAAUCCCAGGUACUCAGAAGGCUAAGGCAGGGGAAUCACUUGAGCCUAAGAGGCACAGUUUGCAGUGAGCCGAGAUCGCACCACUGCACUCCAGCUCGGGCAACCCAGCAAGACUCUGUCUCAAAAUAUAUAUAUAUAACUAAAAAAUGCUGGCCGGGCGCAGUGGCUCACUCCUGUAAUCCCAGCACUUUGG